GUUUGUAAAAAGAAAUGCAUUAUUAAAACAGGAUAUUUCUGCCAGGAUUAAUGACUUACUUUCAAAAUAAGUCUUUAGCUUCAAAAAAGGAACAUUACAUAAGAUGCUUAAUUUUUAAAAUUAUUUUUUAAAUACAUUUUGUAUGAACAUACGGAGAAACAUUUUUUCCAAAGGGCAUCCUUUUCUCAUGUAGAUUUUAAGUUGUGGAUGCAGGUGGCCAAUUAAAAACACUGCUUAUCAUUUGCUUUUGGAAUUUAAUACAGAUAGAAGGCUUGAUUCUUUGAGGCUCUUCGAAAGGAACAUUAACCCAUAAAGCAAGGAACAAGACAGUAGAAUCAGCUACCUGAGUAUUGGUUGGUGACUUCUGAGCCCACUGGAACAGACGUUCAUAGACAUUUCCAUCAUAACAGCCAAGUGCUGAAUUUAAACACUGAUCAGUGAAGUCAAAAGCAUCAGUUAACAGGAUGGCAUCCUUCCUGAGAGAGGAAACAAGAGUUCCUUCUUGAUGGUUCAAUUUUAGAUAUUAUCUGUAGACUCUUCAUUACAAAAGACCGGUUAUUGAGAUAAUGGACAGCUAGGACUGGUCCUCUUCUAAAAAAUACUUUCUCUAAGAAAAAUCUUUUGACAAAAUUCAAUCCCCUUUUCAUGAUGCGAACACUUAAGAAAAUAG